AAAAAUGUUCCAAAAACCUAAGCUGACAUUUUCACGAUUCGCUGUCCUUGGCUCAAAAACCAGCCUGACCAAGAGUAAAGAAGGGAAUCAUUAAUGCAUUUCUCUGGAGAACUACUUUUUUCCCCAAAGCUUCAUGAGACGUUUGUAAAUUAGAAAUGCUUGGAGAAAUCUACUUGUGAGUGACACCACCACCAAAGGAAAGGAUUCUCCGAUGGGAAGAGACAAAAGACAGCAUUCCCCAAUUCUACUUUACAAGGCCUUACAGAUGUUUAGGUUGCCAUUAUGUAAGGAGAUCCUCUGGGCCAAGGCCACCAUGUGUUGUUCCACUGUAGGCCCCAAAACAACUGAACCAACUGGCCAUGAAGUGAAAUCUGAAACUCUGAGCCAAAGUAAAUCUUUC